AACGCUGGCGGCGUGCUUAACACAUGCAAGUCGAACGAGAAUCUGUGGAUCGAGGAUUCGUCCAAGUGAAGCAGAGGACAGUGGCGGACGGGUGAGUAACGCGUGAGGAACCUGCCUUUCAGAGGGGGACAACAGUUGGAAACGACUGCUAAUACCGCAUGAUCUUCCAAGGAAAGGGUGGCCUCUACUUGUAAGCUAUCGCCUGAAGAGGGGUUUGCGUCUGAUUAGGCAGUUGGUGAGGUAACGGCCCACCAAACCUACGAUCAGUAGCCGGUCUGAGAGGAUGAACGGCCACACUGGAACUGAGACACGGUCCAGACUCCUACGGGAGGCAGCAGUGGGGAAUCUUCCGCAAUGGGCGAAAGCCUGACGGAGCAACGCCGCGUGAGUGAUGACGGCCUUCGGGUUGUAAAGCUCUGUGAUCGGGGACGAACGGUCCGUAAGCCAAUACCUUAUGGAAGUGACGGUACCCGAAUAGCAAGCCACGGCUAACUACGUG
rnacentral:rRNA from 1 species